rnacentral:rRNA from 1 species
GGUGAACGCUGGCGGCGUGCUUAAGACAUGCAAGUCGAACGGCAGUCUUCGGACUGUAGUGGCGCACGGGUGAGUAACGCGUAACUGACCUACCCCAAAGUCGCGGAUAACGAUUCGAAAGAAUCGCUAAUACGUGAUGUGCUGUCAGAUUGUGUUCUGCCCGUAAAGCUUGAUUGCUUUGGGAUGGGGUUGCGUUCCAUCAGCUAGUUGGUGGGGUAAAGGCCCACCUAGGCGACGACGGAUAGCCGGCCUGAGAGGGUGGCCGGCCACAGGGGCACUGAGACACGGGUCCCACUCCUACGGGAGGCAGCAGUUAGGAAUCUUCCACAAUGGGCGAAAGCCUGAUGGAGCGACGCCGCGUGAGGGAUGAAGGUCUUCGGAUCGUAAACCUCUGAAUCAGGGACGAAAGACACUUCGGUGGGAUGACGGUACCUGAGUAAUAGCACCGGCUAACUCCGUGCCAGCCGCCGCCGUAAGAC